rnacentral:sRNA from 1 species
GGACCGAUGGAUGAGAUUUCUUAUUACUCAUCAUCCUAAUUAGCAUGUGUGAACUUUGUCAUACAGAUUAGUGAAAAAUAAUAUCUUGAUAUGGUUAUGAUGUGCAUAUUUGUGAUUACUAAGGAUGGUGAACUUUUCCUUAAAUGAAAACAUCAUUUCAUGGUCAAUUACGGGUAAUUAAAGGAAGAAAUUUGUCUUUGAAUACCAAAAAGAUACACGAUUUAGAGAGUCAUUCCAAAGAAAAAAACCUAUACUACUUGGGACAUCUAACGUAUGCUCUUCUUCAGAGUCGUUGAAAGAAUGAUGCAGUACCCUGUUUUCUGCCACACCAUAUUACACACGAGUCAUCACAAUUGUUAAAGAUCAAUGAGAAUCGUCUGAAGCUGCCUGAGAGAAAUAAUGGAUGUUCCCUCCAUGGAAACUAAGAUUCUAUUGCAUCUAUGGGAGCCAGUCAGUAGACCUUUGACAGAAAGUAAGUCAUAAAAGCACUGUACAGUAUACAUACCUCCAGUGAGAGAAAAUGUAAUGAAACUACAAGAACCAAAGUUCCUUUUGAUUUAAACUUUGCCUGCUGGCAAACAUAAAGGCACAUCCACAUUCUUUAUGUUACUGUGGUUGCUAGAGCAAAAUGCAGUGCUUUGCCUUUUAUUUUUGCAAGUGUUGGAUUUCAUCCUUAGAACCACGCGUUUGCAAUUAUAUUGAUAUAUAAGGCCUAUCAUUUUAUCUUAACAUUGUUUUCUUCAGAUAAAUAUUUACAAAUACAUACUAAAGAAAGUUUUGCUUUUAAAAAUAGUGACAAAAAGAAUUCAGGGUUAUUACAGAGAUUAAGAAAUAAUGAGUCGGGGUUGGGUAUUUUGCUCAGUGGUAGAGUG